rnacentral:rRNA from 1 species
AUUGAACGCUGGCGGCAGGCUUAACACAUGCAAGUCGAGCGGGGGAAGGUAGCUUGCUACCGGACCUAGCGGCGGACGGGUGAGUAAUGCUUAGGAAUCUGCCUAUUAGUGGGGGACAACAUCUCGAAAGGGAUGCUAAUACCGCAUACGUCCUACGGGAGAAAGCAGGGGAUCUUCGGACCUUGCGCUAAUAGAUGAGCCUAAGUCGGAUUAGCUAGUUGGUGGGGUAAAGGCCUACCAAGGCGACGAUCUGUAGCGGGGCUGAGAGGGUGAUCCGCCACACUGGGACUGAGGCACGGCCCAGACUCCUACGGGAGGCAGCAUUGGGGAAUAUUGGACAAUGGGGGGAACCCUGAUCCAGCCAUGCCGCGUGUGUGAAGAAGGCCUUAUGGUUGUAAAGCACUUUAAGCGAGGAGGAGGCUACUCUAGUUAAUACCUAGGGAUAGUGGACGUUACUCGCAGAAUAAGCACCGGCUAACUCUGUGCCAGCCGCCGCAGUAACAC